CCUACGGGUGGCAGCAGUGAGGAAUAUUGGUCAAUGGGCGCGAGCCUGAACCAGCCAAGUCGCGUGAGGGAGGACGGCCCUACGGGUUGUAAACCUCUUUUGCCGGGGAGCAACGGGCGCCACGUGUGGCGUCACUGAGAGUACCCGGAGAAAAAGCAUCGGCUAACUCCGGACCAGCAGCCGCGUUAAUACGGAGGAUGCGAGGUUUAUCCGGUUUUAUUGGGUUAAAAGGGUGCGUAGGCGGACCGGUAAGUCAGUGGUCAAAUUGAGGGGCUCAACCCCUUCCCGCCAUGGAAACUGGCGUUCUUGAGUGGAAGAGAAGUAUGCGGAAUGCGUGGUGUAGCGGUGAAAUGCAUAGAUAUCACGCAGAACCCCGAUUGCGAAGGCAGCAUGCCGGCUUCCGACUGACGCUGAAGCACGAAAGCGUGGGGAUCGAACAGGAUUAGAUACCCUUGUAGUC
rnacentral:rRNA from 1 species